rnacentral:rRNA from 1 species
UGCCAUCCGCCGCGGUAAUACGGAGGGGGCAAGCGUUGUUCGGAAUUACUGGGCGUAAAGCGCACGUAGGCGGAUUGGAAAGUUGGGGGUGAAAUCCCGGGGCUCAACCCCGGAACUGCCUCCAAAACUAUCAGUCUAGAGUUCGAGAGAGGUGAGUGGAACUCCGAGUGUAGAGGUGAAAUUCGUAGAUAUCAGGAGGAACGCCGGAGGCGAAAGCGACUAUCUGGGCCAUAACUGACGCUGAUGUGCGGAAGCUAGGGGAGCAAACGGGAUUAGAUA